rnacentral:rRNA from 1 species
GUUGUAUGGUUAAGUGACUAAGCGUACACGGUGGAUGCCUUGGCAGUCAGAGGCGAUGAAAGACGUAGUAACUUGCGAUAAGCCCAGAUUAGGUAGUAACAACCAUUUGAGUCUGGGAUUUCUGAAUGGGGAAACCCACGUGCAUAAGCACGUAUCCUUACCUGAAUACAUAGGGUAAGGAGGCGAACCGGGGGAACUGAAACAUCUAAGUACCCCGAGGAAAAGAAAUCAACCGAGAUUCCGAAAGUAGCGGCGAGCGAAAUUGGACUAGCCCUUAAGCUUUACACGCGUUAGACGAACGGUCUGGAAAGUCCGACGAUACAGGGUGAUAGUCCCGUAGUUGACGACGUGUGUUCAGUGAAAUCGAGUAGGGCGGGACACGUGAUAUCCUGUCUGAAUAUGGGGGGACCAUCCUCCAAGGCUAAAUACUACUGACUGACCGAUAGUGAACCAGUACCGUGAGGGAAAGGCGAAAAGAACCCCUGUGAGGGGAGUGAAAUAGAACCUGAAACCGUGUACGUACAAGCAGUAGGAGCAGGCUUUGUCCUGUGACUGCGUACCUUUUGUAUAAUGGGUCAGCGACUUAUAUUCAGUGGCAAGGUUAACCAUCUAGGGGAGCCGUAGGGAAACCGAGUCUUAACUGGGCGUUCAGUCUCUGGAUAUAGACCCGAAACCAGGUGAUCUAGCCAUGGGCAGGUUGAAGGUUGAGUAACAUCAACUGGAGGACCGAACCGACUAAUGUUGAAAAAUUAGCGGAUGACUUGUGGCUAGGGGUGAAAGGCCAAUCAAACCUGGAGAUAGCUGGUUCUCCCCGAAAGCUAUUUAGGUAGCGCCUCGGACGAAUACUACUGGGGGUAGAGCACUGUUAAGGCUAGGGGGUCAUCCCGACUUACCAACCCUUUGCAAACUCCGAAUACCAGUAAGUACUAUCCGGGAGACACACGGCGGGUGCUAACGUCCGUCGUGGAGAGGGAAACAACCCAGACCGCCAGCUAAGGUCCCAAAUUACUACUAAGUGGGAAACGAUGUGGGAAGGCUCAGACAGCCAGGAUGUUGGCUUAGAAGCAGCCAUCAUUUAAAGAAAGCGUAAUAGCUCACUGGUCGAGUCGGCCUGCGCGGAAGAUGUAACGGGGCUAAGUAGUAAACCGAAGCUGCGGCAAUGUGCUUUUGCACAUUGGGUAGGGGAGCGUUCUGUAAGCGGUUGAAGGUGUGUGGUAACGCAUGCUGGACGUAUCAGAAGUGCGAAUGCUGACAUGAGUAACGAUAAAGGGGGUGAAAAACCUCCUCGCCGGAAGACCAAGGGUUCCUGUCCAACGUUAAUCGGGGCAGGGUAAGUCGACCCCUAAGGCGAGGCCGAAAGGCGUAGUCGAUGGGAAACGGGUUAAUAUUCCCGUACUUCUUACAAUUGCGAUGGGGGGACGGAGAAGGCUAGGUGGGCCUGGCGACGGUUGUCCAGGUUCAAGUGCGUAGGCUUAAGAGUUAGGUAAAUCCGGCUCUUUUUAAGGCUGAGACACGACGUCGAGCCACUACGGUGGUGAAGUCAUUGAUGCCAUGCUUCCAGGAAAAGCCUCUAAGCUUCAGAUUGUAAGGAAUCGUACCCCAAACCGACACAGGUGGUCGGGUAGAGAAUACCAAGGCGCUUGAGAGAACUCGGGUGAAGGAACUAGGCAAAAUGGUACCGUAACUUCGGGAGAAGGUACGCUCUCGACGGUGAAGUCCCUUGCGGAUGGAGCUAUUGAGAGUCGCAGAUACCAGGUGGCUGCAACUGUUUAUUAAAAACACAGCACUGUGCAAAAUCGUAAGAUGACGUAUACGGUGUGACGCCUGCCCGGUGCCGGAAGGUUAAUUGAUGGGGUUAGACUUCGGUCGAAGCUCUUGAUCGAAGCCCCGGUAAACGGCGGCCGUAACUAUAACGGUCCUAAGGUAGCGAAAUUCCUUGUCGGGUAAGUUCCGACCUGCACGAAUGGCGUAAUGAUGGCCACGCUGUCUCCACCCGAGACUCAGUGAAAUUGAAAUCGCUGUGAAGAUGCAGUGUACCCGCGGCUAGACGGAAAGACCCCGUGAACCUUUACUACAGCUUGGCACUGAACAUUGACCCUACAUGUGUAGGAUAGGUGGGAGGCUUUGAAGCACGUACGCCAGUAUGUGUGGAGCCGUCCUUGAAAUACCACCCUUGUAGUGUUGAUGUUCUAACGUCGACCCCUAAUCGGGGUUGCGGACAGUGCCUGGUGGGUAGUUUGACUGGGGCGGUCUCCUCCCAAAGAGUAACGGAGGAGCACGAAGGUGGGCUAAUCACGGUUGGACAUCGUGAGGUUAGUGCAAUGGCAUAAGCCCGCUUGACUGCGAGAAUGACAAUUCGAGCAGGUGCGAAAGCAGGUCAUAGUGAUCCGGUGGUUCUGAAUGGAAGGGCCAUCGCUCAACGGAUAAAAGGUACUCCGGGGAUAACAGGCUGAUACCGCCCAAGAGUUCAUAUCGACGGCGG